ensembl:lncRNA
CACGGGGGUCCCUGUGUGUCCUCUGAGCUCUUUGCUUCCCUUGCAGCCUGCUCUCCCCCACCCCCAGGGAGUAGCUGCUGCUGGGGGGCUGGGCCUGGCCUGCAAGUUUUAACAUUGAAUCAAAUGCUUCUCUGCUCUCUCCCAGACGCCCCUUCCCAAGCGCUGAUGGUGGAGGGGAGGAAGCCUGCUGGGGAGCCCCAAGGUGGGAGCCUCGCGACAGGACCGGGGCAGGGUGCAGGGCCGCCCCAGAUUUUUUGGAGAUAGCAGGGGUGCUCAGCAGCGCAAAGGGAGGCUCGGGGCCCCGGGGGUGCCCUCAGGGGGGAGGGCAGCCUGCUCGAAGGCCGCAUGGCAAGUUGCUGGGGGCUGGGGGAGUGGGCAGGCAGCUGGGGGGUUGGGAGGUGAGCCUUGCAGCAGCCAAUGGGACGUGGCCCCUGUGCUCAGCCAGUCGCUACUUUUGUAGCCACUUGCCUAGUACAUAAGUGCAGGCAGGGAGCCGCCCGUCUCACUCCUAGACUCCGGGUCCAUGGGUGAGGCACUUCGAAUAACCGCUAUUGAGACCAUGAGCGGCGACCCUGAGGGCGGCAGCGGCGACAUCAAGGUGGACAAUGACGAGUGGAACUGGCCCAGCCUGAGCCGGGCCCCCAGGGAGAGCCGGGAGGCAGGCCAGCCGGCCCCUGCCACCCCCAAGAAAGUCUCUUUCCAGGGGGCCGCUCAGGCAGGCUCUGGCUCCGGCUCGGGCUCGGGCCAGUCUGCAGAAGGUGCUUCCGCCGAGCAGUCCACCAGCUGUGACUCUGGUUCUGAGAUCGCUGCAGGCCAGGAGGUGGCCAAAGGCAGCUCCAAGGGCAAGGGCAAAGCUGGCUCUGGCGCCAAGGCUGGCCAGCGAAGCCCCAACCCCAAGUCCUCCAAAGGGAAGGGCGAGGAUCAGCAGGGAAUCCGCAAAGAUCUGGCCAAGAUCGAGCAGAAAGUGGAUAUCCUGCUCGAGAGGAUGGAUAAGUUCACCAGAGAGGCUGGUUUGCUGACAGAGGGGAACAAGGAGAAGCUGGAGAAAGCCGAGAAGCCGGAGAAGCUGGAGAAGUCCGGUAAAGGCGAGAAGCCUGGCAAGGUGGAGAAGUCCGAGAAGCUGCCCCUUUCUCAGCCACCAGUCCAGCAGCAGCCUCAGCACCAGGGUGGCAAGGGCCAGAAGAAGUUCAAGGGGGGUGCCAAGGCUGCUUCUGCUGAGGGUGCUGGUAGCAGCGGCAGCAGUGGCAGCGGUGGCAGUGCUGCCGGCAAGUCUGCUUAGAGGGAUCGAGCCUGGACCAGAGUGACGGCGCCGGAGCUGCAGCAGCAGAGCCCUCCAGCAUCUACAAGGGUGGGGGGCCCCCUCCCCAUGCCACCUGGGCCCUUGUCCUAGAGCCACGCUCACCUGGUCCCCUCUCCCAGCAUCCCCAGCUCAUGCUCCCAGUUGUCCCCAGUUCAGCUCUCUUGCAGGUGACCUCCUCUUUAGGGAGAACCCCCUGCAGGGGCUGCCCCCCUUCCCUAUAGCCCCCCUAGGAGGCUCCCACACCCCACCCCUCAGCAAAGCCUCCAAGUUGGGCUCCCUUAGCUCGCCUUGCUUUUCUCUGCAUAUUUAGCAAUAAAAAAGUUCUCUUGCUCCUUUGGUGACUUUUG